rnacentral:rRNA from 1 species
UACGAAGGGGGCUAGCGUUGCUCGGAAUCACUGGGCGUAAAGCGCACGUAGGCGGGCCUUUAAGUCAGGGGUGAAAUCCUGGAGCUCAACUCCAGAACUGCCUUUGAUACUGAGGAGCUCGAGUCCGGGAGAGGUGAGUGGAACUCCGAGUGUAGAGGUGAAAUUCGUAGAUAUUCGGAAGAACACCAGUGGCGAAGGCGGCUCACUGGCCCGGUACUGACGCUGAGGUGCGAAAGCGUGGGGAGCAAACAGG